AAGCUUCUCGGAAGUGUAAACCCCUUUCGACCCUGGAAGAAUGCCCGCAAGGGUUUGACGGUACGGGUAUAAUGAAGCCCCGGCUAACUACGUGCCAGCAGCCUGCGGUAAUACGUAGGGGGCCAGCUGUUGCUCGGAAUUACUGGGCGUAAAGGGUCUGUAGGCGGUGCGGCAAGUCGAUAGUGAAAUCCCUAGGCUUAACCUAGGGGCUGCUAGCGAAACUGCCGUGCUAGAGUGUGAGAGAGGCGAGUGGAAUUACGGGUGUAGCGGUGAAAUGCGUAGAUUUCCGUAGGAACAUCCGGAG
rnacentral:rRNA from 1 species